rnacentral:lncRNA from 1 species
GUCUGUAGUAGAGAAUGCCCAGGUGGGGAAUGUGGGGUCCUGUGGACAGCCCAGACCUUCCAGCCACAGGGCCUUGGGCCCAAGUGCAAAUUCCCCUCUUUGAGCUUCAGUUCACUCCUAGCUGGUCACGAUUUCAGCCGACUGGCCUCUGUCAAACUGUCGCUCAGUCAAGUCGACGCUGCUCAAGUCCUGCCGCCAGGAUCUGCCCCCCCGAGGCAGGUGUUCCUGUGGCUGCGGGAGAACGGGGACCGGGGAGGACGCUUUGAAGACGGCCGAGUUCUAAGAGGCGGCGUGGAUGCCGAAUCAUUCUUAAGCCGCCUCCCUUCUCCCCCUGUCCCCGAUUCCGGACUCCGGAUUCCCCGCCGGACACCCCAACCAGCUGGCCCCUCGGUGCGCGCGGCGCUUUCGCCCUCGGUUCUCCAGUCGCAGCCGUGUCGGCCUCGCGCGGCUGCACAGCAGGCCAGAGACCCUCGCAGGCGCGCGGCCAGGCGGGCCCGGGGGCCGUUCGGGACCCCCAGACGGCCGAGGGGGCGGAGUCCCGGCGGGGCCGGCGGGGAGCGCUCGGGCGCGGGGCCGAAGGAACCCCGCGGGCGGCCGGGCCGCCGAGCCCGCCGCCGGGCUCGCGCGAGCAGGUGCGGGUCGGAGGCGCGGCGGCCGAAGGGCGGGGGGCGGGCCCGGGGCGCGGUGACCCGCCGCGCGGCUCCUGCUCCCCGGCGGCGGCCUGAGGCUCCCCGCUCCCCGCACCCCGCUCCCCGCCGCGCGCCCCGGUUCCGAGCCCGUUGCUGGGCGACGCUCAGAACGCGGACGGGAUGUCCGUCGAGUCCGGGAUGCUUCCCACGUUGCUCGGCGGGGGCGCGCGGAGCUCCUGCCCUUCCGAGUCCUGCCAAUGCAUCUUUUCGGGGUGUCUGCCCUCGUUACCGCCCUCACGGGCUGGGGGCCUUAAUCCAGGGGCUCUCGAAAUUUCCUGGAGCUCUAAGCUAUACCGUGAUGCAGCCUGGAUGGAUUCCGACCCCGAGUGCUCCUUUCCUUCGUCACCUAAAGCCCAGAGCUGGUCCUUUCCCGCCGCGGGCUGUGCACCCGGAGCCGUGGGUGCCGGGGCUUGGCGUCCCCUUCCCUUCACAGGCCUGGAGGGCGAAAUGCUGA